UUCUUUCGUUUCGUACUCUGUGCAUCGUACAUAAGCGAACAGCUGUUAUGUUAUUGCUAAGCCGGAAACAAAGCAUGUGAAUAUUUUUUUUUUUGGCAAGGCGUCGUUUGGAAAGUGCACUUCCUUGUUCUGACCUUGCCUUUUAUGGGCUGGAGCGAUAUGCCACGGCGAAGUUGUCGAAGAUGCGACGGUGCUACGUGCUACGCUGUUAGAACAAUUCAUCGGAGCAUUCAAGUGUUACCUUUUAUAAGCUGCUAAAAGACCAAGCAGUGCGAAGCUCUUGGCUGACAGUGGUGCCUGCUAAUUUCCACUGCAAGGAUUUCGUCAACGAAUGUUAUCAUAGGUUAUACGCGCGACUCCAGAGGCAAUUUGGAAUAUCGGCACGAAAUCGUCGGAUGAAAAUCUGAGGUGCCCGACGCACAACAUUUUGAACGUGCCACGGAGGAUCAAGGCAAAAAACGAGAGCAAAAAAGGUGCACGCUGAAGGCGGAAAUGAAGCAUGAUCUGGCUUGCAUCUGGUGCAUGAAGAAAUUGCUGGCACGUUAGUUGCAGUCUACCUCCACCAACAGGGUGGAAAACAAAGGUCGCCAUUCCGA